GACGGAGGGCGCAAGCGUUGUUCGGAAUCAUUGGGUUUAAAGGGUCCGUAGGCGGGUUUAUAAGUCAGUGGUGAAAGUCUGCAGCUCAACUGUAGAAUUGCCAUUGAUACUGUUGUCCUUGAGUAAUUAUGAAGUGGUUAGAAUAUGUAGUGUAGCGGUGAAAUGCAUAGAUAUUACAUAGAAUACCGAUUGCGAAGGCAGAUCACUAAUAAUUUACUGACGCUGAUGGACGAAAGCGUAGGUAGCGAACAGG
rnacentral:misc_RNA from 1 species